CCAUUUCAUCUCCACUUCCUCUUUCACGGUUUCACUCUCCCUCCCCCCCCUCUCUCUCUCUCUCCCUCCGAGCUCAGAUCGCCGGCGAAGCGCCACUGCCCCGGCCUCGUCGCCUCCGCCAUCUCUUGCUUCACCCCCCGCCGCAACUUUAGCCUCCCAUGUAGAAGAGCAUACUGGAGAUGUAGAGAAGAGGCGCGAAGAGGAAAAUCCCCUGGCGCUUGAGGAGGAAAGAGAGCAGGAUCCAGACGAGGCGCUGCGCGAGCGUCUUGGGCGGCGGGCGGCCCAAUUUGGAGCCGCGGUGGCGGUAGCGCGGAGAGUGACAAGUGCUUCUCCUUCACAAGUUCGGCCACCGGCCUUGCCCUCAGAUUUUUCGGUGAUAGCAGCAAACUAUAGCAACCGCCGCCUUCCUCUGUACAUUCGCACCGUCGAUUUGUCGCAUAAUCCGGUAAUUCAUUGUCGAGGCUAAAGCCAAUCAAAGCUUCUGUCAGUUGCUACACUCCUCGGAGCAGUAUUCUGCUUUGCUGCCUUUUGUUUUCAUAGCCUGUAUGUCUUUCUGGCACUUUUCGCAAUUGGAGAGCUACUCGUAUUUGCUACCCAGAUCUAACAGACACCACUUUUUCUACAUCUGCAACUGAAUCUGUUAUUUUCAAACCAAUCACAGCAUUACUAUUUGGACCCCUUUCAAAGUCGGAGCAUCCAUAUUUUCAUCCAAAAUGGCUCCCCAUGAAUCUCUUUUGUUACCUUAGAGUUUAGAGGCAGAGAUUCAGAGUUAAUGGCUUCUGGUGAUGUGCCGUCCUCUCCCCUCGUCGGGCUUCUCCAGGUUUAUGUUCUUAUUUCGUCGUAUAUUUCAUUAUAUAUUUUCUCCUACACUGGAUUGUGGGCUCCACAGAGCGGCAGCUCCACGGAGCUCGAGAUACUGCAGCGGAGCGGCAGCUCCACGGAGCUCGAGAUACUGCAGCGGAGCGGCAGCUCCACGGAGAAGAAACAAGCUGGUAUUUGUGUGUGUCUAGUUAUCUCUGUUUCUCUAUCUAUUGAUGUUUAUUGAAGAAAUAUGAGUUUUGUCAUCGGAAUUGAUUGUGAUUUUGUGUUUGAUGUGACAAGUUGAGGUAGUUUGAUUUGAGCAAUUGUUAUCAGCUGUUAUUUUUCCGGUAGUUCAGAAGCAGCACCAACUUCUUGUAACCCUGCUACUGUGCAAUGCGUUGAUCAGAUUUCAGAGAACAAUUGGGGGCUGUUUCAACUGAGAGGAGUUUACCAGAGGACUCACCUGUCCACUCUUCAAGCAGCGAUGACUUUGUAGCAAUUCUUGAUGCGGAGCUGGAUGCUGCUUCUGAUUCAUCAGACGAUUCUGAAGCAGUUGCAGAAGAAGAGGAGAGUAGUGAGGAAGACGAUGAUGACAGAAGUGACUAUUUGGAGCUUGGGAGGUAUGCUUAAUUGCCUUGUCCUGAAAUCACUCUGCAUGCGAUUUAAUUGUCGUCUCUAAACUUGCCAAAAUCUGUUGCCUUUUCUGCUGGGGUAAAUUAUGUGGAAAGGCCUGCUUCGAAAGUUUCCUAAAAAGGGGUCCAAUAAAAAAGGAAAGCUUGUUUGAUGAACUGGUUUGGUUUUGGCCCUCGUGUGUUUUCCUUGGAUAUAUGUUUUACAGGGCUCAUGAGCCACAAACAAAGUCCGAGAUGGAGAAUGAGAGGAAGAGGACGAUGGAGGUUAUACAAGAGAAUAACCGGAGGUUGCAGGAGAGGAAUAAGGUUCUCAUAGAAGGACGAUUUGCAGAUUUCAUCGAACUUUUGUGAUAAUCAAGUAUCUUUAAUUUGUGAGUGGAUCUGGCAGAUUGGGAUGAGCAAGAUGAAGGCGAAGAAAUGACGCACCAGUGGGAAGAUGACUGGGAUUAUUGGGUGCUUGGUUGUACAUGAAGCUUGAUGAGUUGUGAUGCUUGCUGCAGAAAAUGUAUGAGUUGAUUUUGGAGUUUGUUUAGGGGCCAAAAGUUUUUCUUUUGUUUUGUUGGAUUUUGAAAAUUGUAAAAGUGUUUUAUUAUUUAUUAAUCUUGUCGGCUAAAGACUAAAGUAUGAAGCU